GCAGUAAUGGUUCAGUGGUAGAACUCUUGCCUUCCAUGUGGAAAACUCAGGUUCAGUUCCUGGUUAAUACA
rnacentral:tRNA from 1 species